rnacentral:rRNA from 1 species
UGACAGUCGAGCGGACAGAAGGGAGCUUGCUCCCGGAUGUUAGCGGCGGACGGGUGAGUAACACGUGGGUAACCUGCCUGUAAGACUGGGAUAACUCCGGGAAACCGGAGCUAAUACCGGAUAGUUCCUUGAACCGCAUGGUUCAAGGAUGAAAGACGGUUUCGGCUGUCACUUACAGAUGGACCCGCGGCGCAUUAGCUAGUUGGUGGGGUAAUGGCUCACCAAGGCGACGAUGCGUAGCCGACCUGAGAGGGUGAUCGGCCACACUGGGACUGAGACACGGCCCAGACUCCUACGGGAGGCAGCAGUAGGGAAUCUUCCGCAAUGGACGAAAGUCUGACGGAGCAACGCCGCGUGAGUGAUGAAGGUUUUCGGAUCGUAAAGCUCUGUUGUUAGGGAAGAACAAGUGCGAGAGUAACUGCUCGCACCUUGACGGUACCUAACCAGAAA